rnacentral:rRNA from 1 species
UGUACUCGGUGUUACUGCGAAGGGGGGACGGAGAAGGCUAUGUUAGCCGGGCGACGGUUGUCCCGGUUUAAGCAUGUAGGCGGAACGAUUAGGUAAAUCCGGUCGUUUAUUCAACGCUGAGGUGUGACGACGAGGCACUACGGUGCUGAAGUAACAAAUGCCCUGCUUCCAGGAAAAGCCUCUAAGCAUCAGGUAACAACGAAUCGUACCCCAAACCGACACAGGUGGUCAGGUAGAGA